UGAAAGUAAGUAAAAAAAAAUGUAAAAAUGAGUGUUAAGGAGAGUUAGGAAAAGUAGGAAAAAUUAUAGUAAGGAAAUAGGAAUAAAAUAAAAUAAAUGAAAGUAAGUAAAAAAAAUGUAAAAAUGAGUGUUAAGGAGAGUUAGGAAAAGUAGGAAAAAUUAUAGUAAGGAAAUAGGAAGAAAAAAAAUGAAAGUAAGUCUAAAAAAGAUGUUAAAAUGAGUGUUAAGGCGAGUUAGGGAAAGUAGGAAAAUAUAUAGUAAGGAAAUAGAAAGAAGAGAAAAUAAAAGGAAAGGAAAAGUCUUGGGUUAGGAAAAGAUAAAAGGAAAAAUUGUCUUGGGAUAGAGAAGUAAAAAAAAGAAUAAAGUAAAAAGUGUUGGGUUAGGAAAAGAUAAAAGGAAAAACUGUCUUGGGAUAGAAAAGUAAAAAAAUAUAUAAAGUAAAAAAUCUUGGGUUAGGAAAAUAUAACAGCAAAAAUAUGUCGAGAUGGAAAAAGUAAAAAGUAAAGUAAAAAAAAAGUCUCGGGUUAGAACAUAAGAUCCUAAGGAGUCUGCAAGAGGCCGGGUGGUUCUAUGUAAGGCAGCUCCUGUGAACCUAACCCCACCUGACCUCACUAUCCAUGA